rnacentral:rRNA from 1 species
CAGUCGCCACGGGAAUACGGAGGGGGCUAGCGUUGUUCGGAAUUACUGGGCGUAAAGCGCACGUAGGCGGCUUGGUAAGUUAGAGGUGAAAGCCCGGAGCUCAACUCCGGAAUUGCCUUUAAGACUGCCGAGCUAGUAGGUGAGAGAGGUAAGUGGAAUUCCGAGUGUAGAGGUGAAAUUCGUAGAUAUUCGGAAGAACACCAGUGGCGAAGGCGGCUUACUGGCUCAUUCUAGACGCUGAGGUGCGAAAGCGUGGGGAGCAAACAGGAUUAGAUACCCGUGUAGUCCCUGUCUCUUAUAC